AGCUUUGCGCAGUGGCAGUAUCGUAGCCAAUGAGGUUUAUCUGAGGCGCGAUUAUUGCUAAAAAAUAAAAUAAAAUAAA
rnacentral:snRNA from 1 species